rnacentral:rRNA from 1 species
AACGCUGGCGGCGCGCUUAACACAUGCAAGUCGAGCGAGAACCAGGGCUUCGGCCCUGGGGACAGCGGCGAACGGGUGAGUAACACGUGGGUAAUCUGCCCUCGAUUCUGGGAUAGCCCGGGGAAACCCGGAUUAAUACCGGAUAGCCUCUCUGGCCCUCGGGCCGGCGAGAAAAGGUAGCUUCGGCCUCCGAUCGAGGAUGAGCCCGCGGCGGAUUAGCUUGUUGGCGGGGUAAUGGCCCACCAAGGCGA